CACGUAGGUACCCAGCGCUGGCCGGAUUUAUUGGGCGUAAAGAGCUCGUAGGCGGUUCAGUAAGUCGGGUGUGAAAACUCUGGGCUCAACCCAGAGACGCCACCCGAUACUGCUGUGACUUGAGUACGGUAGGGGAGCGGGGAAUUCCUGGUGUAGCGGUGAAAUGCGCAGAUAUCAGGAGGAACACCAGUGGCGAAGGCGCCGCUCUGGGCCGUAACUGACGCUGAGGAGCGAAAGCGUGGGUAGCAAACAGG
rnacentral:misc_RNA from 1 species